AUUGAACGCUAGCGGGAUGCCUUACACAUGCAAGUCGAACGGCGUGGCGAAAGGGUGAGUAAUGUAUCGGAACGUGCCCAUUAGUGGGGGAUACCUACGCGAAAGAGUAGCUAAUACCGCAUACUAUUGGAGCGGCCGAUAUCGGAUUAGCUAGUUGGAGGGGUAACGGCUCACCAAGGCGACGAUCCGUAGCCGGUGUGAGAGGACGAGCAGCCACACUGGGAAGGAGACACGGCCCAGACUCCUACGGGAGGCAGCAGUGGGGAAUUUUGGACAAUGGGCGAAACUCUGAUCCAGCCAUCCCGCGUGAGCGAAGAAGGUCUUCGGGUUGUAAAACUCUUUUGGUAGGAAAGCGGUACCUGCAGAAUAAGCACCGGCUAACUACGUGCCAGCAGCCGCGGUAAUAC
rnacentral:rRNA from 1 species